UACGAAGGGGGCUAGCGUUGUUCGGAAUCACUGGGCGUAAAGCGUACGUAGGCGGACCGUUAAGUCGGGGGUGAAAUCCUGGGGCUCAAACUCGGAACUGCCUUUGAUACUGCAAGUCUCGAGUCCGGAAGAGGUGGGUGGAAUUCCUAGUGUAGAGGUGAAAUUCGUAGAUAUUAGGAAGAACACCAGUGGCGAAGGCGCCCCACUGGUCCGGUACUGACGCUGAGGUACGAAAGCUAGGGGAGCGAAAGGG
rnacentral:rRNA from 1 species